rnacentral:rRNA from 1 species
CGGAGGAUCCAAGCGUUAUCCGGAAUCAUUGGGUUUAAAGGGUCCGUAGGCGGUUUUGUAAGUCAGUGGUGAAAUCCGGUCGCUCAACGAUCGAACGGCCAUUGAUACUGCAGGACUUGAAUUAUUGUGAAGUAACUAGAAUAUGUAGUGUAGCGGUGAAAUGCUUAGAGAUUACAUGGAAUACCGAUUGCGAAGGCAGGUUACUAGCAAUAUAUUGACGCUGAUGGACGAAAGCGUGGGGAGCGAACAGGAUUAGAUACCCUGGUAGUCCACGCCGUAAACGAUGGAUACUAGCUGUUCGACCGCAAGGUUGAGUGGCUAAGCGAAAGUGAUAAGUAUCCCACCUGGGGAGUACGGGCGCAAGCCUG